rnacentral:lncRNA from 1 species
UGAGGCCUAAUCGCUUGGCCUCGUCUAUGGUCACGAAGUUGUCUGUCGCUCCCGUGUCUAGCAUCGCGCGAACGGACUGGCCAUUUAUCUUUGCGCUUACAUACAUGAGCCCUUUCUUGACGGGUGUUGGUUGUUGGCGAUUAAGUGCGCCGAGACGUUAGAGAGAACCCAUGCAGAGUUGGGGUUCCUCCGAGGACAUUGUGG